rnacentral:rRNA from 2 species
CUUGGCGGCCGUAGCGCGGUGGUCCCACCUGACCCCAUGCCGAACUCAGAAGUGAAACGCCGUAGCGCCGAUGGUAGUGUGGGGUCUCCCCAUGCGAGAGUAGGGAACUGCCAGAC